rnacentral:rRNA from 1 species
AAUGAACGCUGGCGGCAUGCCUAACACAUGCAAGUCGAACGAAGGCUUCGGCCUUAGUGGCGCACGGGUGCGUAACGCGUGGGAAUCUGCCCUUGGGUUCGGAAUAACAGUUAGAAAUGACUGCUAAUACCGGAUGAUGUCGUAAGACCAAAGAUUUAUCGCCCAAGGAUGAGCCCGCGUAGGAUUAGCUAGUUGGUGGGGUAAAGGCCUACCAAGGCGACGAUCCUUAGCUGGUCUGAGAGGAUGAUCAGCCACACUGGGACUGAGACACGGCCCAGACUCCUACGGGAGGCAGCAGUGGGGAAUAUUGGAAAGUGGGCGAAAGGCUGAUCCAGCAAUGACGCGUGAGUGAUGAAGGCCGUAGGGUUGUAAAGCUCUUUUAACCGGGAUGAUAAUGACAGUACCGGGAGAAUAAGCUCCGGCUAACUUCGUG